rnacentral:rRNA from 1 species
CUAGUAAUCGCGAAUCAGAAUGUCGCGGUGAAUACUUUCCCGGGCCUUGUACACACCGCCCGUCACACCAUGGGAGUGGGUUGUACCAGAAGUAGAUAGCUUAACCUUUUGGAGGGCGUUUACCACGGUAUGAUUCAUGACUGGGGUGAAGUCGUAACAAGGUAACCGUAGGGGAACCUGCGGUUGGAUCACCUCCUUACCC